ensembl:misc_RNA Metazoa_SRP Metazoan signal recognition particle RNA
GAUGCAGUGGCACGAUCUCGGCUCACUGCAACCUCCGACUGCUGGAUUCAAGAGAUUCUCCCCGCUUGAGCCCAGGAGUUCUGGGCCGUAGUGCACUAUGCCAAUCGGGUGUCCGCACUAAGUUCGUCAUCAAUAUGGUGAUCUCCCUGGAGCCGGGGACCACAAGGUUGCCUAAGGAGGAGUGAACCGGCCCAGGUAGGAAACGGAGCAGGUCAAAACUCCCGUGCUGAUGAGUAGUGGGAUUGCACCUGUGGAUAGUCACUGCAUUCCAGCCUGGGCAACAUAGCAAGACCAAGACCCAGUCUCUA